rnacentral:rRNA from 1 species
UACGGAGGGUGCGAGCGUUAAUCGGAAUCACUGGGCGUAAAGCGCGCGUAGGCGGCUUUUCAAGUCAGGGGUGAAGUCCCACGGCCCAACCGUGGAACUGCCUUUGAAACUGUAGAGCUUGAGUGUCGGAGAGGGUGGCGGAAUUCCAGGUGUAGGAGUGAAAUCCGUAGAUAUCUGGAGGAACACCGGUGGCGAAGGCGGCCACCUGGACGACAACUGACGCUGAGGUGCGAAAGCGUGGGUAGCAAACAGG